rnacentral:rRNA from 1 species
AUUGAACGCUGGCGGCAGGCCUAACACAUGCAAGUCGAGCGGCAGCGGGAAAGUAGCUUGCUACUUUUGCCGGCGAGCGGCGGACGGGUGAGUAAUGCCUGGGAAAUUGCCCAGUCGAGGGGGAUAACAGUUGGAAACGACUGCUAAUACCGCAUACGCCCUACGGGGGAAAGCAGGGGACCUUCGGGCCUUGCGCGAUUGGAUAUGCCCAGGUGGGAUUAGCUAGUUGGUGAGGUAAUGGCUCACCAAGGCGACGAUCCCUAGCUGGUCUGAGAGGAUGAUCAGCCACACUGGAACUGAGACACGGUCCAGACUCCUACGGGAGGCAGCAGUGGGGAAUAUUGCACAAUGGGGGAAACCCUGAUGCAGCCAUGCCGCGUGUGUGAAGAAGGCCUUCGGGUUGUAAAGCACUUUCAGCGAGGAGGAAAGGUCAGUAGCUAAUAUCUGCUGACUGUGACGUUACUCGCAGAAGAAGCACCGGCUAACUCCGUGCCAGCCGCCGCGGUAAUAC